GGCCCAUUAGCUCAGUUGGUUAGAGCGUCGUGCUGAUAACGCGAAGGUCGUGGGUUCGACCCCCAUGUGGGCCA